rnacentral:rRNA from 1 species
GAUCAGCAUGAGUAGCUUCUCUAUAUCUUUUUAACGCCUGCUACAUGCGCCGAUCUGCGCCCAUUAGUGAAUCACCCCCAGGGGGUAUGCAAUAACAGUUAUGAUUGGUACUCCUGCGGGCGCCUUGCCCGGGGCUGUUUUUUUCCCUGGGCACAUAUCCGGCGAGGCAACAAUUUGUUAACAUUCACAUUAAGUUUGGGAGUUGUAAACUCUCUAAUGAUCCGUCCCCAUGAACAACUACGGAAAAUGCGAUAAGUAAUGUGAAUUGCAAAAUUCAGUGAAUCAUCGAAUCUUUGAACGCACAUUGCGCCCGCCAGUAUUCUGGCGGGCAUGCCUGUCCGAGCGUCAUUUCAACCCUCGAACCCCUCCGGGGGGGUCGGCGUUGGGGAUCGGCCCUGCCUUGGCGGUGGCCGUCUCCGAAAUAAGUGGGCGGUCUCGCCGCAACCUCUCCUGCGCAGUAAUUUGCACACUCGCAUCGGGAACGCGGCCCGUCAAAGCCGUUAAAAACACAACUUCUGAAAGGUUGAACUCGGAUCAGGUAGGAAUACCCCGCUGAAUUAAGCAUACCAUAAAAAGGAGAAAAA